AAAAUUUAAAUAAAAAAUACUAAAAUAGUAGGUAAUUAUUUGUUGAAACUUAAAUAAUUUGGCGGUAUUUUAGUUCAUUUAGAGGAAUCUGUUUAAUAAUUGAUAUUCCACGAAUAAAUUUACUUAAUUUAUAAUUUUAUAUAUCGUUGUUUUAAAAAUAUUUUUUAAUAAAAUUAAUAUUUUAAAAUUAAUAUUAGAAUUUAAAUCAGAUCAAGAUGUAGAUUAUAAUUAAGAAUAUAAUGGAUUACAAUAAAUUUAUUUAAAUGAAUACUAAUUUGUAAUAGUUGGUGGAAGGUGGAUUUAAAUGUAAUUUUAUUUAAUUUAAUAAAAUGAUUAAAAAUUAAAAUAUGU
rnacentral:rRNA from 1 species